GCUUUGAAUGCAGCCCAACACAAAUCCAUAAACAUUCUUAAAACGCUCCUUCCAUUUUGUGGCUCUGCCGGUCUUCUUGAACACAUGGCUCCUGAGGCUGGGGUAGAGAAAGAGAGCAUAUGUUGGAGAACCUGGCGUUCUAUGUCAUGAGAGAAUGAACCAGAAUGGGGCAUAUGCUUCUAACCUGAAGACAAGACUGCAGAAUUGACUAUAUACACAGUCCUGUGUCACUUAAAGACAGGGAUACAUUCUGAGAAAUGCAUCAUGAGGCAGUUUCAUCAUUGUGCGAAUAUCAUGGAGUGUCCUUACACAAAGCUAGACGGUAUACACCUACUACAUACCUAGCCUCUAUGGUAUAGCCUGUUGAUCCUAGGUUACAAACCUGUACAGCAUGUUACUGUAUUCAAUACUGUAAGCAUUUAUGACACAAUGGAAUCAUAUAAUCUAUGUGCCAAGUGGUGCUGAAGAGCCUUAAUUUAAU
rnacentral:lncRNA from 1 species